ACAUAUAAAUAACAUGCAAGCUAUCGUAACUGAUUUUACAGAG
rnacentral:guide_RNA from 1 species